rnacentral:rRNA from 1 species
UUAACACAUGCAAGUCGACUCGAGUCUUCGGAACUUGGGUGGCGCACGGGUGAGUAACGCGUAAAGAACUUGCCUCUUAGACCGGGACAACAUCUGGAAACGGAUGCUAAUACCGGAUAUUAUGGUUUUUUCGCAUGGAGGAAUCAUGAAAGCUAGAUGCGCUAAGAGAGAGCUUUGCGUCCCAUUAGCUAGUUGGUGAGGUAACGGCCCACCAAGGCAAUGAUGGGUAGCCGGCCUGAGAGGGUGAACGGCCACAAGGGGACUGAGACACGGCCCUUACUCCUACGGGAGGCAGCAGUGGGGAAUAUUGGACAAUGGACCACAAGUCUGAUCCAGCAAUUCUGUGUGCACGAUGACGUUUUUCGGAAUGUAAAGUGCUUUCAGUCGGGAAGAAGUCAGUGACGGUACCGACAGAAGAAGCGACGGCUAAAUACGUGCCAGCAGCCGCGGUAAUACGUAUGUCGCAAGCGUUAUCCGGAUUUAUUGGGCGUAAAGCGCGUCUAGGCGGCAAGGAAAGUCUGAUGUGAAAAUGCGGAGCUCAACUCCGUAUGGCGUUGGAAACUGCCUUACUAGAGUACUGGAGAGGUAGGCGGAACUACAAGUGUAGAGGUGAAAUUCGUAGAUAUUUGUAGGAAUGCCGAUGGGGAAGCCAGCCUACUGGACAGAUACUGACGCUAAAGCGCGAAAGCGUGGGUAGCAAACAGG